ACGAACGCUGGCGGCGUGCCUAAUGCAUGCAAGUCGAACGGUCCUUCUAUGGAAGCUUGCUUCCACUGAGAAGAUAGUGGCGAACGGGUGAGUAACACGUGGGUAACCUGCCCAUAAGAGGGGGAUAACAUCCGGAAACGGGUGCUAAUACCGCAUUGUUUUCUUGAUCGCAUGAUCGGGAAAGGAAAGACGGCCUUUGUGCUGUCGCUUAUGGAUGGACCCGCGGCGUAUUAGUUAGUUGGUGAGGUAACGGCUCACCAAGACGAUGAUACGUAGCCGACCUGAGAGGGUGAUCGGCCACAUUGGGACUGAGACACGGCCCAAACUCCUACGGGAGGCAGCAGUAGGGAAUCUUCCGCAAUGGACGAAAGUCUGACGGAGCAACGCCGCGUGAGUGAAGAAAGGUUUUCGGAUCGUAAAACUCUGUUGUCAGAGAAGAACAAGUUGGAGAGUAACUGCUCCAGCCUUGACGGUAUCUGACCAGAAAGCCACGGCUAACUACGUGCCAGCCGCAGC
rnacentral:rRNA from 1 species